GGUAAUAUAAUGACAGUAGAUGGUAGACCAGGGUAAUAUCAUGACAGUAGAUGGUAGACCAGGGUAAUAUCAUGACAGUAGAUGGUAGACCAGGGUAAUAUAAUGACAGUAGAUGGUAGACCAAGAUAAUAUAAUGACAGUAGAGGCCAGGGUAAUACAAUGACAGUAGAUGUAUACCAGGGUAAUAUAAUGACAGUAGAUGGUAGACCAGGGUAAUAUAAUGACAGUAGAUGGUAGACCAGGGUAAUAUAAUGACAGUAGAGGUUAAUAUAAUGACAGUAGAUGGUAGACCAGGUAAUAUAAUGACAGUAGAUGGUAGACCAGGGUAAUAUAAUGACAGUAGAUGGUAGACCAGGGUAAUAUAAUUACAGUAGAUGGUAGACCAGGGUAAUAUAAUGACAGUAGAUGGUAGACCAGGGUAAUAUAAUGACAGUAGAUGGUAGACCAGGGUAAUAUAAUGACAGUAGAUUGUAAUCCGGGGUAAUAUAAUGACAGUAGAUGGUAGACCAGGGUAAUAUAAUGACAGUAGAUGGUAGACCAGG
ensembl:lncRNA